rnacentral:rRNA from 1 species
GACGAACGCUGGCGGCGUGCCUAAUACAUGCAAGUUGAGCGCUGAAGGUUGGUACUUGUACCAACUGGAUGAGCAGCGAACGGGUGAGUAACGCGUGGGGAAUCUGCCUUUGAGCGGGGGACAACAUUUGGAAACGAAUGCUAAUGCCGCAUAAAAACUUUAAACACAAGUUUUAAGUUUGAAAGAUGCAAUUGCAUCACUCAAAGAUGAUCCCGCGUUGUAUUAGCUAGUUGGUGAGGUAAAGGCUCACCAAGGCGAUGAUACAUAGCCGACCUGAGAGGGUGAUCGGCCACAGUGGGACUGAGACACGGCCCAAACUCCUACGGGAGGCAGCAGUAGGGAAUCUUCGGCAAUGGACGAAAGUCUGACCGAGCAACGCCGCGUGAGUGAAGAAGGUUUUCGGAUCGUAAAACUCUGUUGGUAGAGAAGAACGUUGGUGAGAGUGGAAAGCUCAUCAAGUGACGGUAACUACCCAGAAAGGGACGGCUAACUACGUG